rnacentral:rRNA from 1 species
AGCGAACGCUGGCGGCGUGCCUAACACAUGCAAGUUGAACGUGAACGGAGCAAUCCUAGUAAAGUGGCGUACGGGUGAGUAACACGUAGGUAAUCUACCUUACAGUUCGGAAUAACCUGACGAAAGUCGGGCUAAUACUGGAUAGAGCGACGGAAGCCGUAACGGUUUUUUCGGGAAAGGGAGCUCGAUAAGAGCCCUCGCUGUAAGAUGAGCCUGCGUCUGAUUAGUUAGUUGGUGGGGUAANGGCCUACCAAGACGAUGAUCAGUAGCUGGUCUGAGAGGAUGAUCAGCCACACUGGAACUGAAACACGGUCCAGACUCCUACGGGAGGCAGCAGGUGGGGAAUCUUGCGCAAUGGACGAAAGUCUGACGCAGCCACGCCGCG